rnacentral:rRNA from 1 species
UACGUAGGUGGCAAGCGAUACUCGGAAUCACUAGGCGUAAAGCGCAGGUAGGAGGUUUGGAAAGUCUCUUGUGAAAGCUCCCGGCUCAACUGGGAGAGGUCAAGGGAAACUACCAGGCUGGAGUGCGGUAGAGGUAGCUGGAAUUCCCGGUGUAGCGGUGAAAUGCGUAGAUAUCGGGAGGAAUACCUAUGGCGAAAGCAGGCUACUGGACCGUCACUGACUCUGAUAUGCGAAAGCUAGGGGAGCAAACAGG